rnacentral:rRNA from 1 species
AUGUGCUACGCGGGCCGAGCUUAUAAAGGGGCCGAACAAAAUGUCCAGAGUAUACACGGAUCUAGGCCUACCGCACAGGCCUCCAGCGACACUCACGCUCGCUCCCCACGAAUGUCGCGUGCGGCCACCAGAAUAUUCCCGACGCCGUCGUUGCUCCCACUUCCACUUUCCAAGUGGCUGCGUAGGCGGCGGCCAAGCAUCUGCCCAGCGAGGAGAACCUUCGCGAUGGCGGCGUCCGGAUUCGGAGGCGGCGAGGCGUUCCGGCUGUCGGCUGCGGCGGGGGCCGGCGCGCUGAAGCUGCACAAGGGCGACAUCACCCUCUGGUCCGUCGACGGCGCCACCGACGCUAUCGUCAAUGCUGCUAAUGAACGAAUGCUAGGAGGGGGAGGUGUUGAUGGAGCUAUACAUCAAGCUGCUGGACCACAGCUUGUACAAGCAUGCCGUGAAGUUCCAGAGGUUAAACCUGGAGUCCGUUGCCCUACUGGAGAAGCUAGAAUUACUCCAGCUUUUGAGCUUCCCGUGUCCUGUGUGAUCCAUACAGUUGGGCCCAUAUAUGAUAUGGACAGGAAGCCUGAGGUGUCACUAAAGAAUGCAUACGAAAAUAGCUUAAAGGUUGCUAAAGAGAAUGGCAUUCAGUACGUUGCAUUCCCUGCUAUAUCUUGUGGUAUUUUCCGUUACCCUCCAAAGGAAGCAUCAAACAUAGCUAUUUCAGCUGCUCAACAAUUUUCAGGGGAUAUUAAAGAGGUGCAUUUUGUUCUGUUCUCGGAUGAGCUCUACAACGUUUGGCGUGGGACUGCCCAGGAGAUGCUGACGCAAUUUGAGAAAUGA